ACGGUAGAGGUUCUUAGCUACCCUCUCUAAAAAACUAAGAAGGA
rnacentral:ncRNA from 1 species